AUUGAACGCUGGCGGCAGGCCUAACACAUGCAAGUCGAGCGGAUGAAGGGAGCUUGCUCCUGGAUUCAGCGGCGGACGGGUGAGUAAUGCCUAGGAAUCUGCCUGGUAGUGGGGGAUAACGUCCGGAAACGGGCGCUAAUACCGCAUACGUCCUGAGGGAGAAAGUGGGGGAUCUUCGGACCUCACGCUAUCAGAUGAGCCUAGGUCGGAUUAGCUAGUUGGUGGGGUAAAGGCCUACCAAGGCGACGAUCCGUAACUGGUCUGAGAGGAUGAUCAGUCACACUGGAACUGAGACAGGGUCCAGACUCCUACGGGAGGCAGCAGUGGGGAAUAUUGGACAAUGGGCGAAAGCCUGAUCCAGCCAUGCCGCGUGUGUGAAGAAGGUCUUCGGAUUGUAAAGCACUUUAAGUUGGGAGGAAGGGCAGUAAGUUAAUACCUUGCUGUUUUGACGUCACCAACAGAAUAAGCACCGGCUAACUUCGUG
rnacentral:rRNA from 1 species